UCCUCUUUACAGAGGCAGUUCGUUCCGAGUCCCCGACUUUACUCGCUGGUAACAGAACGUGAGGGUUGCGCUCGUUGCGGGACUUAACCCAACAUUUCACAACACGAGCUGACGACAGCCAUGCACCACCUGUGCAACACCCUCGAAGGAGCGAUGUUUCCACCGUUUGCAGUUGCAUGUCAAGCCCUGGUAAGGUUCUUCGCGUUGCAUCGAAUUAAGCCACAUGCUCCACCGCUUGUGCGGGCCCCCGCCAAUUCCUUUGAGUUUCAACCUUGCGGCCGUAGUCCCCAGGCGGUUCACUUAAUGCGUUAGCUGCGGCACCGAAGGAAACCCCCGACACCUAGUGAACAUCGUUUAUGGCCAAGACUAC
rnacentral:misc_RNA from 1 species